AUUGAACGCUGGCGGAAUGCUUUACACAUGCAAGUCGAACGGCAGCACGGGGGCAGUCCUGGUGGCGAGUGGCGAACGGGUGAGUAAUACAUCGGAACGUGCCCGGUCGUGGGGGAUAACGUAGCGAAAGUUACGCUAAUACCGCAUACGAUCUGAGGAUGAAAGCGGGGGACCUUCGGGCCUCGCGCGAUCGGAGCGGCCGAUGUCAGAUUAGGUAGUUGGUGGGGUAAAGGCCUACCAAGCCGACGAUCUGUAGCUGGUCUGAGAGGACGACCAGCCACACUGGGACUGAGACACGGCCCAGACUCCUACGGGAGGCAGCAGUGGGGAAUUUUGGACAAUGGGCGCAAGCCUGAUCCAGCCAUUCCGCGUGCAGGACGAAGGCCUUCGGGUUGUAAACUGCUUUUGUACGGAACGAAAAGGCUCUGGCUAAGACCUGGGGCUCAUGACGGUACCGUAAGAAUAAGCACCGGCUAACUACGU
rnacentral:rRNA from 1 species